rnacentral:rRNA from 1 species
UACGUAGGGGGCAAGCGUUGUCCGGAUUUAUUGGGCUUAAAGGGUGCGUAGGUGGCCCUGUUAGUCAGUGGUGAAAUAUCUCAGCUUAACUGAGAGAGUGCCAUUGAUACUGCAGGGCUUGAGUACAGAUGAGGUAGGCGGAAUUGACGGUGUAGCGGUGAAAUGCAUAGAUAUCGUCAAGAACACCGAUAGCGAAGGCAGCUUACCAAGCUGUAACUGACACUGAGGCACGAAAGUGUGGGGAUCAAACAGG